CCUUCGAUAGCUCAGUUGGUAGAGCGGUGGACUGUAGUUAACGGAAUGUACAAAAAACCAUCAGAAAAAUUCGUUCGCUUUCGUUGCCCUCAAAAGCAACGAAUCCAACACCCCUCUGUACAGACAUCCAUAGGUCGCUGGUUCAAAUCCGGCUCGAAGGA
rnacentral:tRNA from 1 species